UUCACGAAGCAAUCGGAAGUGGUUCCAAGAAAAGCCUCUAAGCUUCAGUCAUACGAGACCGUACCGCAAACCGACACAGGUGGGCGAGAUGAGUAUUCUAAGGCGCUUGAGAGAACUCGGGAGAAGGAACUCGGCAAAUUGGUACCGUAACUUCGGGAAAAGGUACGCCCCGGUAGCUUGAUUGGUUUACUCCAUGAGGGUGAAAGGGUUGCAAUAAACUGGUGGCUGCGACUGUUUAAUAAAAACACAGCACUCUGCAAACACGAAAGUGGACGUAUAGGGUGUGACGCCUGCCCGGUGCUGGAAGAUUAAAUGAUGGGGUGCAAGCUCUUGAUUGAAGUCCCAGUAAACGGCGGCCGUAACUAUAACGGUCCUAAGGUAGCGAAAUUCCUUGUCGGGUAAGUUCCGACCUGCACGAAUGGCGUAACGAUGGCCACACUGUCUCCUCCCGAGACUCAGCGAAGUUGAAAUGUUUGUGAUGAUGCAAUCUACCCGCGGCUAGACGGAAAGACCCCAUGAACCUUUACUGUAGCUUUGCAUUGGACUUUGAACCAAUCUGUGUAGGAUAGGUGGGAGGCUUUGAAGCGGGGACGCUAGUUCUCGUGGAGCCAACCUUGAAAUACCACCCUGGUUUGUUUGAGGUUCUAACCUUGGUCCGUUAUCCGGAUCGGGGACAGUGCAUGGUAGGCAGUUUGACUGGGGCGGUCUCCUCCUAAAGUGUAACGGAGGAGUUCGAAGGUACGCUAGAUACGGUCGGACAUCGUGUUGAUAGUGCAAUGGCAUAAGCGUGCUUAACUGCGAGACUGACAAGUCGAGCAGGUACGAAAGUAGGACAUAGUGAUCCGGUGGUUCUGUAUGGAAGGGCCAUCGCUCAACGGAUAAAAGGUACUCUGGGGAUAACAGGCUGAUUCCUCCCAAGAGUUCAUAUCGACGGGGGAGUUUGGCACCUCGAUGUCGGCUCAUCACAUCCUGGGGCUGUAGCCGGUCCCAAGGGUAUGGCUGUUCGCCAUUUAAAGUGGUACGUGAGCUGGGUUUAAAACGUCGUGAGACAGUUUGGUCCCUAUCUGCCGUGGGCGUUGGAAAUUUGAAGGGGGCUGCUCCUAGUACGAGAGGACCGGAGUGGACGAACCUCUGGUGUACCGGUUGUCACGCCAGUGGCAUUGCCGGGUAGCUAAGUUCGGAAGAGAUAACCGCUGAAAGCAUCUAAGCGGGAAACUUGCCUUGAGAUGAGAUUUCCCAGAGCCUUGAGCUCUUUGAAGGGUCGUUCGAGACCAGGACGUUGAUAGGCUGGGUGUGGAAGUGCAGUAAUGCAUUAAGCUAACCAGUACUAAUUGCCCGUACGGCUUGUCCCUAUAACCUUAGCAGGU
rnacentral:rRNA from 2 species